rnacentral:rRNA from 1 species
GCAAGUCGAGCGCCCACUUCGGUGGGAGCGGCGGACGGGUUAGUAACGCGUGGGAACAUACCCUUUUCUACGGAAUAGCCUCUGGAAACGGAGAGUAAUACCUUAUACGCCCUUUGGGGGAAAGAUUUAUCGGAGAAGGAUUAGCCCGCGUUAGAUUAGGUAGUUGGUGGGGUAAUGGCCUACCAAGCCUACGAUCUAUAGCUGGUUUGAGAGGAUGAUC